rnacentral:tRNA from 1 species
GCACUCGGUAGCUCAGAUGGAUAGAGCGUCUGCCAUGUAAGCAGGAGGUCCCGGGUUCGAGUCCCGCUCGGGGCA